rnacentral:lncRNA from 10 species
UGGGAGCGGCAUCACUCCAAUAACACAGCAUCUAGAUCAUGGUUUCUGAAUGACCUUCAACACUAGAAAGAAUUGGGAUUUCCAGGUCCAAGGCAAGAAAAGGGAUUGCAAGGCUAGUUCAUCUGUUGGCAAAUCUCAGAACACAGAAUAUGCCCACCCACCUCCUGAAGACUGGUCUUGACAAUCAAAUCAUAAGGUGAAAACCACGCUAACAUAAUUAGUGAUGGAGAGCUCCAUUCCUGCAAAAAUUUAGCUUCAAAGAGUUCUGCUAAUGGACGAGAUACAGACACCUUCUAACCAGCAGGUGGCAAAGUGGGUUCCAGACACUGAAGUCCUGUGCUGGCAGCUGGAUUUGGAGCCAAUGUGCACAGAAGAGGAAAAGGAAAAAGAGAUGUGUGGGGAAACAACAGCAUCUGCCAAAGAAUGGAUUGAAGAAGAAAAAAGUAGUAAGUUGAAAUUCAGGGGAAUGGAUUUUUCUCCAGAAACAAAUAUAAAAGAAAACUUCAACAAAGGUGGAA